AGUGAACGCUGGCGGCGUGCCUAAUACAUGCAAGUCGAACGGAGUGGCGCACGGGUGUGUAAUGUAUAUCUAAUCUGCCCUACACUAGAGGACAACAGUUUGAAACGGCUGCUAAUACUCUAUAGUGUAUGAUGAGGCUAUUUUGUAUCAGCUAGUUGGUGAGGUAAUGGUUCACCAAGGCUAUGACGCAUAACUGGUCUGAGAGGAUGAUCAGUAACACGGGAACGGAGACACGGUCCAGACGCAUACGGGAGGCAGCAGUAGGGAAUAUUGCCCAAUGGGGGAAACCCUGAAGCAGCAACGCCGCGUGGAGGAUGACACUUUUCGGAGCGUAAACUCCUUUUGUUAGGGAAGCGGUAACUGAAGAAUAAGCACCGGCUAACUACGUGCCAGCAGCCGCGGUAAUUC
rnacentral:rRNA from 1 species